CGCGGCCUAUCAGCUUGUUGGUGGGGUAAUGGCCUACCAAGGCGACGACUGGUAGCCGGCCUGAGAGGGCGACCGGCCACACUGGGACUGAGACACGGCCCAGACUCCUACGGGAGGCAGCAGUGGGGAAUAUUGUACAAUGGGCGAAAGCCUGAUGCAGCGACGCCGCGUGAGGGAUGACGGCCUUCGGGUUGUAAACCUCUUUCAGCAGGGAAGAAGCGCAAGUGACGGUACCUGCAGAAGAAGCACCGGCUAACUACGUGCCAGCAGCCGCGGUAAUACGUAGGGUGCGAGCGUUGUCCGGAAUUAUUGGGCGUAAAGAGCUCGUAGGCGGCUUGUCACGUCGGGUGUGAAAGCCCGGGGCUUAACCCCGGGUCUGCAUUCGAUACGGGCAGGCUUGAGUGUGGUAGGGGAGAUCGGAAUUCCUGGUGUAGCGGUGAAAUGCGCAGAUAUCAGGAGGAACACCGGUGGCGAAGGCGGAUCUCUGGGCCAUUACUGACGCUGAGGAGCGAAAGCGUGGGGAGCGAACAGGAUUAGAUACCCUGGUAGUCCACGCCGUAAACGUUGGGAACUAGGUGUUGGCGACAUUCCACGUCGUCGGUGCCGCAGCUAACGCAUUAAGUUCCCCGCCUGGGGAGUACGG
rnacentral:rRNA from 1 species